rnacentral:lncRNA from 13 species
GGGGAAUAGUAAAAGAUACAUCCCCAUGCACUUCUAAGUGUUUAGGUUUAAAUCCUGGCUGUAGAAUUUUCUAGUUGUAAAAUCUUGGGUAAGUUAUUAGAUCUCAUUCUGGCUUAGGUUCCUCACGUGUAAAAUGGGGCUAUAAUGCUUUAUGUGGCUGUUAGAAAGGUAAGGAGAUACGCUAUGUGCUUAGAAUAGCUUGUUCCUGAAGCUCAUUGGGAUGUUAGCAUGAUGCAGAAAGAAGACAGGCACAGCUGGGAGGUAUGGAGUCUGUGAGGAUAGUGCCAAGAGAAAUAUUUCAAAUUUUAGAAUGAUUCUUAGAGGCAAUGGGAAACAUUGAAAUAUUUCUGUGUAAUGAAACUAUGCUAUCAUCUUUGUUCUUUAUAAAGAUUCCUUUGGUAGAUGAAGUUACUGCAUCAUAAUUUAUUUUAUAUCUUAAUUCUGAACUCUAUACAACUUACCAAAAACCAUAGUUAAUAGUCACUAGGAGCACAGACGUGUGAAAUAAUAUGCUUUUGAAAACUUAUUAAGUAUAACAGUGACCAUGAUCUCUCCCAGAAAUGCAUUUUGGGGUUCACUCAGCUAAUUUGAAGGUCUCGAAGCCCAUCUGAUUGCUUGUGAUUAGGAACAGGAUAUUUGUGCCACUUACUGGUGAACUGUGGGAAGAAGAUCAGCUCCUCAGGCAGCUCAAGAAAAGUCUCCAGACAAAGUCUCUCAGAGAUGCUGUUAAAGAAAAAAUUCUUCAAGCACUUGUUAAGAUGGUAUGCCUGCCCAAGGUCAAGGCUUAGUUGGAAAGAGGGCCUGGGGAGACCAUCCAAACCCUGGUUAAGGAGGGUCUCUGUUCAUGAUCCUUAUCAUGAAGUGUCACCUGAAUGUGGAAAAGUUGAGUUUGAGCGA